CACAUGGUAAACAUGCAAAUUAUAUUUGCUUUUCACCUUAAUCAAAAAUAUAUCUAUAUAUGUCUGUGCAGCAUACAUUAUUAUGGUUUUCUAUAUUAUGAUAAUAAAGUGUGAUUUUUUUCACACCUAUAAAGAAUGUGUCUUCUUUUUUUUUUCAUUUUUAAAAGCACACUUAGCAACAUGUUUCAGUUAAUUAAUGCAUUUCAUACUGUUUUAGAUAAAUAAAUUAAUCAUUACAGAGAGAAUAAAGGUUUUCUCAACCACCCUUGUGGUCCCAUGGGCUCACAAGUUCCUGGCAGCGCCACAGUCGGCCCGUUUCUCAUUAUAGAUUAAGCAAGUUUGGACUCUUGUACUUUGUCAGAACGAACUUGGUAAGUUCGGCUCACGAGUGCAUACUCCAGAGAACAGGACUUUUAUUUUGUAAUUGGAACUGCUGUGAUCAGUAGAGUAGUAGGUGCAUCCUUAGAUGCAUUUCCACAAACAUACCCUACACCCGCCUCACAGGGCAGACAAACCGCCUUUGUUUGGUCCAUCGCUCACCAGCCUUGCUGUAGUUCACAGGGAACCCACAAUAUUCCCACACUUAAUCAGAGUUUCUGUAAUCAGGAUUAAAACUAGUUUUAUAUACUCUGUAACAGCAUGAGAAACACAAAAAAGUUGUUUGUAUGUGUAGUUAAAAGAAACUGUGACUUAUCUUCAUGGUGGAUGUUAUGUGUUUGGAUCUGCUGUCUGCAGGUGCAGCUUUAAUGCUGUAUUUUGUGUGUUUACUCUCUCUGAAGUUUGUCUCCAGAAGGUAGCUGACUUUGUACCUUCCUUUGCCCAUAGACACACACACAGACACAAGGAGGUGGAGCUGUGUUAAUUAGUGCUGACGCUUUUUAAAAAUAUGGCGAAAUGAAAAAAAAAGCUUCUUCUGAUUUGUCACUGAAAAUGUUUGAUAAUUUCCUCUCCUCUUUCUAAUAAGGUCAUAGUGAGUGUGAUUGGCGGCUGUGGGGAAUCUCUCUCUCUCUCUCUCUCUCUCUCUCUCUCUGUCUCUCUGUCUCUCAGGUUCUUGAGUCUUAUCUGGCUGAGUAGAGGUAAAGCUUGUUCUGCUGCUGAGUUGAGCAUAUAUAUAUAUAAUAUAUACAGCAUAUUUAAACUAACUUUGUGGACUGUAUGUAUACUGGCCUCUUUUUCUGUUAGGAUGUUGUUGGAAAGGCAGUGAAUGGUAUAAAUUCCUUUAUCCUCGAAGAACUUAACUACUUUCUCCACAUCGGGCCGGGGAUUGUCAUGCACCGUGAGAAACCACGGACUCACUGCGCCAGCGUAGGGUCUUACAAUGGGUUCAAGGAUUUCAUCUCAAUACCUAAGAGCAGGCAGGACAGUGUGAGGUUGGUGGAUGGUGGGAGCCGCUGUGCUGGGAGAGUGGAAGUUCUUCAUAGAGGACAUUGGGGAACAGUUUGUGAUGAUUACUGGGAUAUGAGAGAUGCUGCAGUGGUGUGUAGAGAGCUGGGCUGUGGGGAAGCCAUAGAUGCACCACGGAGAGCUCGCUUUGGAUCAGGAUCAGGACCGAUCUGGGUGGAAUAUGCUAACUGUGCUGGAUCAGAGUCUUCACUGAAGAACUGUAGGUCGUAUGAUUGGGGUAGACAGAGAUGUAAUCAUGAUGAAGACGCUGGUGCUGUUUGUGCAGAAGUCAGACUGGUGGGCAGAUCUCACUGCUCUGGGAGAGUGGAGGUUCUUCAUGGAGAGAGCUGGGUCACAGUGUGUGAUGCUGACUUUGACCAGCAGGGUGCAGAGGUUGUGUGUCGAGAGCUGGGCUGUGGUUCUCCUGUGGAGGUUCUGGGAGCAGCUGCUUUUGGUAGAGGGGAGGGUCAGGUGUGUUUAGAGGAGCUUCAGUGUAGAGGAACUGAAUCUCAGAUUCACUUCUGUCCAAAAUCAUCUUCACUCAAACACAACUGCUCCCAUGAUAAUGAUGUGGGACUGGUGUGUGCUGACAGUGUGAGGUUGGUGGAUGGUGGCCAUCGCUGUGCUGGGAGAGUGGAGGUUUUUUAUAACAGAACAUGGAGAUCAGUGUGUGGUAAAAACUGGGAUAUAAGAGAUGCUGCAGUGGUGUGUAGAGAGCUGGGCUGUGGGGAGGCUGUAUUUAAAAAUGUUCAGUUUGGACCAAGAUCAGCCUGGAUGGAUGAUGUGAACUGUAGUGGAUCAGAGUCUUCAGUGAAGCACUGUAGAUCAGCUGGAUGGGUGGAACAAAUUUGUAAUCGACUUGCUGGAGUCAUCUGUUCAGGGGUCAGAUUGGUGGGCAGAUCUCGCUGCUCUGGGAGAGUGGAGGUUCUUCAUGGAGAGAGCUGGGUCACAGUGUGUGAUGCUGACUUUGACCAGCAGGAUGCAGAGGUUGUGUGUCGAGAGCUGGGCUGUGGUUCUCCUGUGGAGGUUCUGGGAGCAGCUGCUUUUGGUAGAGGGGAGGGUCAGGUGUGGUCAGAGAAGCUUCAGUGUAGAAGAACUGAAUCUCAGAUUCACUUCUGUCCAAAAUCAUCUUCACUCAAACACAACUGCUCCCAUGAUAAUGAUGUGGGACUGGUGUGUUCUGAAAGUGUGAGGUUGGUGGAUGGUUUGAGUCGCUGUGCUGGGAGAGUGGAGGUUCUUCAUAAAGGACAGUGGGGAACAGUGUGUGAUGGUAACUGGGGUAUGAUAGAUGCUGCAGUGGUGUGUAGAGAGCUGGGCUGUGGAGAGGCUACAGAUGCACUUAGUGGUGCUUACUUUGGAUCAGGAUCAGGACCAAUCUGGAUGGAUAAUGUGGAGUGUAGAGAAUCAGAAUCCAUACUAAAGAACUGUAAAUCAGCAGGAUGGGGUAAACAUAACUGUAAUCAUCCUAAAGAUGCUGGAGUCAUCUGUUCAAGAGUCAGGCUGGUUGGAGGUUCUCACUGCUCUGGGAGAGUGGAGGUUCUUCAUGGAGAGAGCUGGGUCACAGUGUGUGAUUCUGACUUUAACCAGCAGGGUGCAGAGGUUGUGUGUCGAGAGCUGGGCUGUGGUUCUCCUGUGAAGGUUCUGGGAGCAGCUGCGUUUGGUAGAGGGGAGGGUCAGGUGUGGUCAGAGGUGCUUCAGUGUAGAGGAAACAAAUCUCAGACUCACUUCUGUCCAAAAUCAUCUUCACUCAAACACAACUGCUCCCAUGAUAAUGAUGUGGGACUGGUGUGUGCAGGAGUCCUGCUGGUUAAUGGCUCUCGCUGCUCUGGAAGAGUGGAGGUUCUUCAUGGUGAGAGCUGGUUCACAGUGUGUGAUGCUGACUUUAACCAGCAGGAUGCAGAGGUUGUGUGUCGAGAGCUGGGCUGUGGUUCUCCUGUGGAGAUUCUGGGAGCAGCUGCUUUUGGUAGAGGGGAGGGUCCGGUGUGGUCAGAGGAGCUUCAGUGUAGAGGAAACGAAUCACAGAUUCACUUCUGUCCAAAAUCAUCUUUACUCAAACACAACUGCUCCCAUGAUAAUGAUGUGGGACUGGUGUGUUCUGGCAGUGUGAGGUUGGUAGAUGGUGACAGUCGCUGUGCUGGGAGAGUGGAGGUUCUUUAUAGAGGACAGUGGGGAUCAGUGUGUGGUAAUAACUGGGAUAUGAGAGAUGCUGCAGUGGUGUGUAGAGAGCUGGGCUGUGGAGAAGCUGUAGAUACAUAUCAUGAGUCUUACUUUGGAUCAGCAUCAGGACCAAUCUGGAUGGAUAAUGUGCACUGCAGUGGCUCUGAGUCUACACUGAGGAACUGUGAAUCAGCAGGAUGGGGUAAACAUAACUGUGAUCAUUCUAAAGAUGCUGGAGUCAUCUGUUCAGGAGUCCGGGUGGUUGGUGGUUCUCACUGUUCUGGGAGAGUGGAGGUUCUUCAUGGAGAGAGCUGGGUCACAGUGUGUGAUGCUGACUUUAACCAGCAGGAUGCAGAGGUCGUGUGUCGAGAGCUGGGCUGUGGUUCUCUUGUGGAGGUUCUGGGAGCAGCUGCUUUUGGUAGAGGGGAGGGUCAGGUGUGGUCAGAGGAGCUUCAGUGUAGAGGAGAUGAAUCUGAGAUUACUCUCUGUCCAAUAACCUCUUCACACAAAUACAACUGCUCUCAUGGUAAUGAUGUGGGACUUGUAUGUUCUGGUCAUACUCAGGCUCGGCUGAUGAACGGCUCAGACUCUUGUUCUGGUCGAGUGGAGCUCCAGUACCUCAGUUCUUCUCUGGCGUCUCAUGAGGGAGGAGUGCGGUUGUCUGGAGGGAUGGAGUGUGAGGGGGAAGUGGAGGUGUUCUUCAGGCAGGACUGGAGGAGAGUUCUGCUGGACUCCUGGAGUGAGUCUGAGGCCUCUGUGGUCUGCAGACAGCUGGGCUAUGGUUCUGUACUCAACAUCUCCAGCUCCUCUUCAUCCAGUCCUGAACACAGCUACAUGUGUGUGACGGGUUUCAACUGCUCUGGGAGUGAAGCUCAUCUGAGGAACUGCAGCAGCUCACAAGCAGUUAACUGCAGCUCCACAGUACAGCUCUACAUCACCUGCUCUGGUACAUCUAACACAGUCCACAGCUCCAUCAGGCUGGUUGGUUCUGGGGGAGACUGUGCAGGAAGGCUGGAGGUUUUCCACAGUGGAUCAUGGGGGACAGUGAGUGAUGAAUUGUGGGAUAUUGAGGAUGCGCAGGUGGUCUGCAGACAGCUGCAGUGUGGAGUGGCCCUCAGUGCUCCAGUACCGGUACCAGCCCGGUUUGGAUCUGGAACUGGACCCAUUUGGCUUAAUGAGGUGGAGUGUGAGGGGAACGAGGCGUCUCUGUGGAACUGCAGAUAUCAGCUGUGUGGAGAGGAUGAAUGUGGACACAAGGAUGAUGUAGGAGUCGUGUGCUCAGAGUAUAAAGAGAUCAGACUGACUGAGGGCUGUGAGGGGAAUCUGGAGGUGUACUAUAAUGGAACCUGGGGGAAUGUGUGUGUAAAUGGGAUGACUGAUGAAACGGCAAAAUUGAUCUGUCGAGAGCUGAACUGUGGAAGAACUGGCAGUGAGUCUUGGUCUAAAGCAAGAGUGGAAUCAGCUCCUAACUGGCUGGAUAAUGUAAAAUGUAGGAAACAUGACUCCACUCUGUGGCACUGUCCAUCUUCUUCCUGGGGGGAGAACAGGUGUGAUAAUCGCAAUGAGGUUGCUUGCAUUACCUGCUCAGAGAAUGGAAAUACACUAGAUUUGACAAAUUGGCUGUGUGAUUCAUCUCCUCAUGAGAGACCGUGCUCAAAGCACAUUCCUCUGAGGCUGAGGGGAGGAGUAGGAAGCUGUUCUGGAUGGCUGCAGGUGUAUCAUAAUAAAACAUGGGGGUCUGUAUGUGGUGAUCUGUGGGACAUCAGGGAUGCUCAGGUGAUCUGCAGGCAGCUGGGUUGUGGGCCGGCGCUGAGUGCUAAUAGAAGAGCUGCUGAUGGUUCUGGUGGAGGAACUAUCUGGAUGAACAGAGUGAAGUGUAGAGGGAAUGAGAUUCACCUGUGGGACUGUCCUCAUUCCCUGAAGAACCACACUGACUGCUCCCACAGUGCUGGAGUCACUUGUGGAGGCUUCCUGUAUCAUACUUUGCCUUUAAAUAAUAAAAGAGGACAGAUGGGACAUUUUGUCUUGCAAGAUUCUCAACCACAGACAAGAAGAAUCAUACUUCCACAAACUCCUCCACCAGCUGUUCCCUCCAUCUAUCCAGUGUCUCUCCUGGUUCUGGGAUCUGUGCUCUUCCUGGCCUUAGUGCUUCUGGUUGUGCUGUUUUAUCAGAACAGAGUGCUCAGGAGAGUGAUCUCUAAGAGGAGGAAGACUUCAGCUGAGCCUGUCUAUGAGGAGAUUGACACCAGGCUCAUCCCUAAAAGAAUUACUGUCUCAACUGAAACCUCCUUCUGCUGAUCUUCCUCUUUCGGGUGGGGAUGGAGACGGUGGAGAGGGUGGUGAGCUUCCUGAGGGCUUUGAGGAUAGUUAUCCUGGUGCGUGUCUUUCGUCUGGCCUCUCAGAAGAAAGAUCUGGAGAAGGUCACUAGAAGAAAGGUAUCUGAGAACAAAAGGCGGUAACAAAAAGGAUGGAUUUGAUUUGGAUCUCACCUAUGUCACAGCAGGCACUCUACAGAAAUCCCAUAAAAGAAGCUGCCAUAUUUCUGGACACAAAGCAUCCCGAUCAUUACAGAGUUUACAAUCUCUGCAGUCAAAAAGGCUACGAUCCACUGUUCUUCCAUUACAGAGUGCAACGAGUGAUGAUUGACGACCAUAACGUACCGUCAUUAGACCAACCCACUCGUUAGGACUCCCCCUAUCACUAGUAAUGCCCCAACACACCAGGAGGAUGAAGACUAGCACACUCUUUCUCCGAUACAUGUGAAGUCAGCCACCGCUUCUUUUCGAGCUGCUGCUGAUGCAGCAUUGCCAAGCAGCCAGCACAUUUGGAGGAAAGCGCAGCGGCAGGUGAAGUGCGUAAUAUGGACAGUGUGCGCUUUGCACUUGUGCAACUUUUUUUUAAAAACAGUUUGAUUUGUUUCUGCUAUAUUUUGAUUCAUAGCUUUAUAUAAAAUGAAAAUAACUUAUAACUAUAUUAUUUUCUUUAGCCCGAGGAACCUGAGGAAAGUGGUGGGAAAUCUCGAGCCAGGUCAGACCUUGGGUUGGGUUUGGGCAGAGAACCUAAGCUCUUAUUCACAUAUUGAACUUUGUGUUAUUGUGUUCUCAGUGACAUGUUGAACUACACUGCCAGUUUGAGGGAAUGUCAUUGCCAUCCACUGCAAAGGAGGCAAAGGUGUGGGAAAGGGCAAUGGCAGUGAUCUGAAGGUGCGGAUCAUAGUGAAAAGAGAGCAGGUGUUCCAGUGUGUCUGUGCCACGCAGACGAACUGUAGGCUGUUCCCAGAUACUGAAAACAAUGCCGUGGUGAUCAGCUUUCAGGAAGGGCCAGUGGUUUGUGGUGAUGUUAAGGUCAUGUUUGAAUCCAGGGCUGGUCUUCCAAAGGGGUAUGAGGACUAUCCUUUCUAUUUCUGGUUCAACACUUCAUUUGUAGAGAACAACAGGCUCUAUCUGUCAAGGGAGGAACUGGACAACCCACGUAAGUCCAAAACCUGGGACAUCUACAAGGAGGACUUUGGUGUGACCGUGUCUUUCAGUGACCCUGCACUUAUGUAGCAGACGACACUUGCUUGUGUAUCUCAACUAAAACCCUUAAGCCCUGCACAAGGUCUAAAUCUUUGCUCUAAUGUCGGUUUUCACACACUUAUAAAAGGUGAGUGAUGUUUAGGGAUUGGAUUCGGGCAUAUUGUGCCCCUAAAGCUAUAGCUAUAUAACCUCCAUCCCCCACCUUCACUGUAAGAGCUUUUUACUGAGCCGUGCAUACAUCACAAUAUUAUGCAUUUGUUUGUCAAAUGUUUUUUUGUCUUUAAAUGAAGACAAAUGUUUGUGUCAGUUUAGCAUAUUAUGCUUCCAAAAUGUAAAUCUUACUCUUUAAGCUUGAGUGUACAUCAAAUAAAGCAAUCGAGGCUGCCACUGUGAAAUGGUCAAUGGUUAUGUGUGCAGAAACAUUUUUUUGUAGUACACAUGUAUUGAAAUAAAUACGAAUGUCUCUGUAA